rnacentral:snoRNA from 1 species
UUAGCCUGUUUAUCAAAACAUCGACUGUUUCCUACUACAGGUGCAAGUGACAUUUUCCUCGUGCUUUCUGUCUGUCUGUCUGUCUGCUUGGGGCAGCCAAGGUUGAGUAGAGGAAUACAGAC